rnacentral:rRNA from 1 species
GACGAACCGUGCGAACGUUGUUCGGAAUCACUGGGCUUAAAGGGCGCGUAGGCGGGCUCGCAAGUCAGGGGUGAAAGCCCGCGGCUCAACCGCGGAAGCGCCUUUGAUACUGCGGGCCUCGAGGGGGGUAGGGGCGUGCGGAACUUCCGGUGGAGCGGUGAAAUGCGUAGAUAUCGGAAGGAACACCGGUGGCGAAAGCGGCGCGCUGGACCCCCACUGACGCUGAGGCGCGAAAGCCAGGGGAGCAAACGGG